GACGAACGCUGGCGGCGUGCUUAACACAUGCAAGUCGAACGGAAAGGCCUCUUUCGGGGGGUACUCGAGUGGCGAACGGGUGAGUAACACGUGGGUAACCUGCCCUUGACUUUGGGAUAACUUCAGGAAACUGGGGCUAAUACCGGAUAGGAGCUCCUGCUGCAUGGUGGGGGUUGGAAAGUUUCGGCGGUUGGGGAUGGACUCGCGGCUUAUCAGCUUGUUGGUGGGGUAGUGGCUUACCAAGGCUUUGACGGGUAGCCGGCCUGAGAGGGUGACCGGCCACAUUGGGACUGAGAUACGACCCAGACUCCUACGGGAGGCAGCAGUGGGGAAUAUUGCACAAUGGGUGGAAGCCUGAUGCAGCAACGCCGUGUGCGGGAUGACGGCCUUCGGGUUGUAAACCGCUUUCGCUCAUGACGAAGCUUUGUGUGACGGUAGUGGGUAAAGAAGCACCGGCUAACUACGUG
rnacentral:rRNA from 1 species